GUCGAGAGGGCGACUAAUACAAUACCUUCGGGGAAUACGUCCACCCUAACCUAUUGGAGGGUUCUGAACCUCUCGGCACCAGUGU
rnacentral:ncRNA from 1 species